AGCUUUGCACAGUGGCAGUAUCAUGGCCAGUGAGGUUUAUCUGAGACACGAUUAUUGCUAAUUGAAAAAUUGGUAGCUAAUUUUAAAGAACCUGUAAAUUCUCUGAAAGAGUAAGAAAAUAUAUUAAAACUUUAAAAAAG
rfam:Cavia porcellus supercont2_201 genomic scaffold, whole genome shotgun sequence.